UUUAACUGAGUUCUAGAAUUCUCACAAAGCUACUUUUGUCUGUAAGUUGUUGUAUUUUUGGUGUUUCUGUGGGAGAGUAGGUGUAGACUUUACUAGUCUGCCAUCUGGCUGAAGUCACUCUUCUGUAUAAGUCUUCUGAAAGUCCAUGGAUGCAGCAUUGCCAAGAAAGAGGGCGUUGGCUGGGCACCUAGUGACCCAUCCUCACUGUGAUAGAGUAGGAUCGAUAUACACACACACACCGGAAAUGGCUUGAUGUAUGUUGGUGUUUGAUCUUAUACCUAUCACCUCAUGGUCCCAAGAUGGUUUUUAAAGUUCCAGACAUCACAUCUAUAUCAUCCACGUUCAAGUUUAGAUACCUGUCAAAGUCUGAUGGGUGAUGAAGAUAACACAGCAGCAGCUAACAGUGCAUGAGGACCAGGCUCUGUGCAUUCCAUGUAUUAACUCCCUGAAGUCCCUGGCUACCCUUUAUGGACCUUUCUUGUUGAAAGCACAUGGGUUUGGAGUCCUGGGAUCUUGGAUUUGAAUCCCACAGUAGCCUCUUAUGGAUAAUGAGAACAUGGGUCUACAUCAGUCAGAGUUGAGAACUGCGGGAGGAGACAGCAGAGAGAGGCCAGCCUGACGUCCUGCAGCCCAUGGGUGGCCUGAGAUGCAGGAGGAAAUCCUGGGAUGUGGCCGUGAGUGGCAGGAACUCCGCAGUCCCCAACGGCGAAGGCAGCUGAAAUGGGAAGGAUGCAUCAUAUGAAGACAGCCAUAGACAGUGUUGGUGGUUAUAUCCAGCACCGUCCAAGGACAAGGGGCACACACUAGCACAUGGUAGUGUGCCAGUUGCUGUAAGUUUGCUGCUGGAGAGCUGGGCCAUUUUAUUGGGCCUUGAAACUAUUCAGACCACUUUAUUCACAAAGCUGAGUAAGUCAAGAUGAAUUUGCUCAGCCUUUAUUCCAACUUCCCAACUAAAAGACUAGGUUAAAAAAAACAACAACAUUUUUUUUCAGACUCUCUUGCAGCUCGGGUUCCUGGUGUGAUUUUAUAAAAUGCCCAUCAGGUGCAUGUGUGUGUCACUUAAAUGAGAAACUGAACUGAAUGAAGGCAGAGGUGGUUGCAGGAGCUGCAUUAUUUUGCUGUUGUGGAUACAGCAGGAGCAGUACAGUUCUGGAACUAAUUGGCAACAGUUGUUUCCUGAUCUCCAAGUGUAGUUGGUUAGGGUACUGCCUUCCUGAUUCCCCAGCUCCCCAUAAACCAAGUGUCCAGUGUUUUUCCGGAAAUCACUAGGCCCAGCCCAGAACUCAAAGGUGAAAAUUAGAAAUGCAGCAGAGAGCCUGGAGCCAGGGAGAACCCAGUAAGUAGGUACAAAGUAACAAGCAGUAAGGAGAAGUGGAUAUGUCAAGAACUGGCACUUUAGCCUCGGGUCGGGUCCGGGUUUAGGACUUGAGUCAGUAUGAAUAUGUGGGCUGGCUGGGCCUGAAAGGGUGUACAUUAUUCAGAUAAGUACAUGAUUUGUACUACGUUUAUUACAAAAGGUUUUCGACCCUCAACUUUUAUAAUUCCUAGGGAGCAGAAACAUAGUAAAAAUAUACUGAUAGAUCUGAGCACAUAGGAGAUGCUACAGGAAUAUGAAUAGUGGUGAUAUAAAAGACUUCACAUGGCCCUCCUGCCUCUUUGGUUCUGCAAUUUCUGAUUUUCUGUAACAAGGUUCACAGCAGUGGUUCUCAUAAGGCAGAUGUAGCAGGAAAGGCAAUAUAAGACACUAAAAAUAAGACUUCAUCAUAUGUACGUAUCCUUAAAGAUCACAUAUGAUGCGACAAGCAAUGCUGAAAUGUUUCCUGCCUUCUAAAAUCUGAUGACAUGAAAUCAGCUCGAUAUGCUUAAGUCAGUUCUAUAAACACAGUAUAGUCAAUAAUCUCAGAAAGCAAGGUUAGCUAGGAAACGGGAGGUUUGUCUUUCCAGUGCAAAGUUAAUUUGUAUUUUUUGCUUUAUUUAAAAUGUAUUUCGGGGCG